GAUGAACGCUAGCGGCAGGCUUAAUACAUGCAAGUCGAGGGGCAGCAUGAGUGUAGCAAUACAUUUGAUGGCGACCGGCAAACGGGUGCGGAACACGUACAGAACCUUCCUUCGAGCGGGGAAUAGCCCGGAGAAAUCCGGAUUAAUACCCCAUAGUAUGGUGAAGAGGCAUCUCUUUACUAUUAAAGAUUUAUCACUUGAAGAUGGCUGUGCGGCUGAUUAGGUAGUUGGCGGGGUAACGGCCCACCAAGCCUGCGAUCAGUAACUGGUGUGAGAGCACGACCAGUCACACGGGGCACUGAGACACGGGCCCGACUCCUACGGGUGGCUG
rnacentral:rRNA from 1 species